rnacentral:sRNA from 1 species
GGCUUAAAUCAUAUCUUGGCUUGUCAUUAUUAUCUAUUUACUGUGAACUGUAUUAUUAUUUGACGUUUGAGGGAUGUUCCAAUGUUAUAAGGAUAGACAUUGGAGAUGUUAACCGAGUCAUAAUCAGGUUUAGGCCUGGUAUCCUAUUAUUAUUUACCAAAUGAAUUCAGAAUUAAUAUUGUAACAUAGACCUAAAAAAUCUAUAAAACAACUUUUAACAACGGAUCUCUUGGUUCUCGCAUCGAUGAAGAACGUAGCAAAGUGCGAUAACUAGUGUGAAUUGCAUAUUCAGUGAAUCAUCGAGUCUUUGAACGCAACUUGCGCUCAUUGGUAUUCCAAUGAGCACGCCUGUUUCAGUAUCAAAACAAACCCUCUAUCCAACUUUUGUUGUAUAGGAUUAUUGGGGGCCUCUCGAUCUGUAUAGAUCUUGAAACCCUUGAAAUUUACUAAGGCCUGAACUUGUUUAAUGCCUGAACUUUUUUUUAAUAUAAAGGAAAGCUCUUGUAAUUGACUUUGAUGGGGCCUCCCAAAUAAAUCUUUUUUAAAUUUGAUCUGAAAUCAGGUGGGAUUACCCGCUGAACUUAAGCAUAUCAAUAAGCGGAGGA